rfam:Felis catus isolate Cinnamon breed Abyssinian chromosome C1, whole genome shotgun sequence.
GCCUGGGUGGCUCAGUCAGUUGAGCGUCCGACUUCGGCCCAGGUCAUGAUCUUGCAGUCCGUGGGUUCGAGCCCCACAUCGGGCU